rnacentral:lncRNA from 1 species
GCGAGUCGUCUCCGAAGGACGCGGAGUCGUCCCCACGAGUAAAAAGCGGACUUCCCGAGACGUCCCCAGAGAGCGCAGAGUCGACUCUCUCAGGGAAUUCCAGAGGACGUGUUUUUCGGUGAUACAACUACGGAGUCGUCCCCGACGUCGCAGAGUCGUCCCCAUGCAAAAAGCGCAAACAUCCCGAGACGUCCCCGUAAAGUGCCGAGCCGACUCUCUCAGAAAAACAGAAGAACAAGC